UCCGUGUCCGAAAAUGUUCGCGCGUAAAGACAACCACGAUAUCCACGUUAAAAUUGUUCAUCGUGACGGAAUAGUCGCCACGCCGGCUAUUCUCCCGCAGGCCGGACCAUCUACAGCAGAGGUUCCUAAACUUUUUAUUGUACAGACCGAUUUUGGAAAAUUUUUAAAAUUUGGCGACCCACAAUAUCAUCGAAUGACCAUUUUUUCGCCGACAUUUAUCACCUCGAUUCAUCCAUAUGCAACGUACUAAAACAAUCAUCUGUGAUAAGCCUUGCAUAUCUCUGGACUCGUCUAGUUGUAAUGAGAACUAUGU